UGGGGAAUAUUGGACAAUGGGGGGAACCCUGAUCCAGCAAUGCCGCGUGUGCGAUGAAGGCCUGCGGGUUGUAAAGCACUUUCGUUGGGGAAGAAAUGCUCAAAGAUAAUACAUUUGAGAGCUGACGUUACCCAAAGAAGAAGCACCGGCAAACUCUGUGCCAGCAGCCGCGGUAAUACAGAGGGUGCAAGCGUUAAUCGGAGUUACUGGGCGUAAAGGGCGCGUAGGCUGGUAUUUAAGUCGAUUGUGAAAUCCCUGGGCUUAACCUAGGAAUUGCAGUCGAUACUGAAUGCCUUGAGUAUGGUAGAGGAAAGUGGAAUUCUCGGUGUAGUGGUUAAAUACGUAGAUAUCGAGAAGAACACCGGUGGCGAAGGCGACUUUCUGGACCAAUACUGACGCUGAGGCGCGAAAGCGUGGGGAGCAAACAGG
rnacentral:rRNA from 1 species